GCGGCGUGCCUAAUACAUGCAAGUCGAACGCUUUGUGGUUCAACUGAUUUGAAGAGCUUGCUCAGAUAUGACGAUGAACAUUGCAAAGAGUGGCGAACGGGUGAGUAACACGUGGGAAACCUACCUCUUAGCAGGGGAUAACAUUUGGAAACAGAUGCUAAUACCGUAUAACAAUGACAACCGCAUGGUUGUUAUUUAAAAGAUGGUUCUGCUAUCACUAAGAGAUGGUCCCGCGGUGCAUUAGCUAGUUGGUAAGGUAAUGGCUUACCAAGGCGAUGAUGCAUAGCCGAGUUGAGAGACUGAUCGGCCACAAUGGGACUGAGACACGGCCCAUACUCCUACGGGAGGCAGCAGUAGGGAAUCUUCCACAAUGGGCGAAAGCCUGAUGGAGCAACGCCGCGUGUGUGAUGAAGGGUUUCGGCUCGUAAAACACUGUUGUAAGAGAAGAAUGACAUUGAGAGUAACUGUUCAAUGUGUGACGGUAUCUUACCAGAAAGGAACGGCUAAAUACGUGCCAGCAGCCGCGGUAAUACGUAUGUUCCAAGCGUUAUCCGGAUUUAUUGGGCGUAAAGCGAGCGCAGACGGUUAUUUAAGUCUGAAGUGAAAGCCCUCAGCUCAACUGAGGAAUUGCUUUGGAAACUGGAUGACUUGAGUGCAGUAGAGGAAAGUGGAACUCCUGGUGUAGCGGUGAAAUGCGUAGAUUAUAUGGAAGAACACAAGUGGCGAAGGCGGCUUUCUGGACUGUAACUGACGUUGAGGCUCGAAAGUGUGGGUAGCAAACAGGAUUAGAUACCCUGGUAGUCCACACCGUAAACGAUGAAUGGUAAGGGUGUUUGAGGGUUUCCGCCCUUAAGUGCCGCAGCUAACGCAUUAAGCACUCCGCCUGGGGAGUACGACCGCAAGGUUGAAACUCAAAGGAAUUGACGGGGACCCGCACAAGCGGUGGAGCAUGUGGUUUAAUUCGAAGCAACGCGAAGAACCUUACCAGGUCUUGACAUCCCUUGACAACUCCAGAGAUGGAGCGUUCCCUUCGGGGACAAGGUGACAGGUGGUGCAUGGUUGUCGUCAGCUCGUGUCGUGAGGUGUUGGGUUAAGUCCCGCAACGAGCGCAACCCUUAUUACUAGUUGCCAGCAUUCAGUUGGGCACUCUAGUGAGACUGCCGGUGACAAACCGGAGGAAGGUGGGGAUGACGUCAAAUCAUCAUGCCCCUUAUGACCUGGGCUACACACGUGCUACAAUGGCGUAUACAACGAGUUGCCAACCCGCGAGGGUGAGCUAAUCUCUUAAAGUACGUCUCAGUUCGGAUUGUAGGCUGCAACUCGCCUACAUGAAGUCGGAAUCGCUAGUAAUCGCGGAUCAGCACGCCGCGGUGAAUACGUUCCCGGGUCUUGUACACACCGCCCGUCACACCAUGAGAGUUUGUAACACCCAAAGCCGGUGGGGUAACCUUCGGGAGCCAGCCGUCUAAGGUGGGACAGAUGAUUAGGGUGAAG
rnacentral:rRNA from 1 species